rnacentral:rRNA from 1 species
AUUGAACGCUGGCGGCAGGCCUAACACAUGCAAGUCGAGCGGAGCGGCGAACGGGUGAGUAACGCGUGAGUAACUGCAACCCUCUCUGGGAUAACAGUUGGAAACGGCUGCUAAUACCGGAUAGUGGGGGAUGACUCGCGUCCUAUCAGCUUGUUGGUGGGGUAGUGGCCGACCAAGGCGAAGACGGGUAGCCGGCCUGAGAGGGCGACCGGACACAUGGGGCUGAGAUACGGCCCAAACUCCUACGGGAGGCAGCAGUGGGGAAUAUUGCACAAGGGGGGAAACCCUGAUGCAGCAACGCCGCGUGCGGGAUGACGGCCUUCGGGUUGUAAACCGCUUUCAGCCAUGACGCGGUAGUGGCAGAAGAAGCACCGGCUAACUACGUGCCAGCAGCCGCGGUAAUUC